rnacentral:rRNA from 1 species
UACGUAGGUGGCAAGCGUUGUCCGGAUUUACUGGGCGUAAAGAGCGCGCAGGCGGUCGAUCAAGUCGCGUGUGAAAGCCCCCGGCUCAACUGGGGAGGGUCACGCGAUACUGAUCGACUCGAAGGCAGGAGAGGGUAGUGGAAUUCCCGGUGUAGUGGUGAAAUUCGUAGAUAUCAGGAAGAACACCCGUGGCGAAGGCGGCUCUCUGGGACGGUACUGACGCUGAGACGCGAAAGCGUGGGGAGCGAACAGG